AUGGAUUACCAGGGUACCAAUGUUAGGGAUUUCCUUCAUGCUAAUGGAAAGGUCGUGCUAGAAAGAGUGGAUAACAACCAUAGCCUAAGAUCUUUCACUCAAAAAGAGAUAGAAGGCAUCACCGGUGGGUAUAGCACCCUGCUGGGAGAAGGGGGCUUCGGUAAGGUUUACAAGGGAAAAUUAGAUGAUCUUCGUCCAGUCGCAGUAAAGAAAUACAAAAAUGGAACCAAGAAAGAGGAGUUUGCCAAAGAGGUGAUAGUGCAUUCCCAGAUAAAUCACAAGAAUGUUGUUAGACUGUUUGGUUGCUGCACGGAGGAGAAUGCUCUUAUGAUCGUAAUGGAGUUUGUAUGCAAUGGCAACCUCUACAACAUCCUUCACUGCAGCAGCGAUGCUAAUGGUUCUGUCCCCUUCCCUUUGGACAAACGUUUGGACAUUGCUAUUGAGUCAGCUGAAGUAUUAUCAUACAUGCAUUCAAUGUAUAGUCCUGUUCUUCAUGGUGACAUCAAACCCGCUAAUAUACUGCUAGAUGAAAAUCUUCAGCCAAAGAUAUCGGAUUUUGGGAUAGCAAGAUUGCUUGCUGCUGACGAGACUCGGCAUACCAGAUCUGUCAUUGGUUGCAUAGGUUACGUGGACCCAUUGUUUUGUCAGAGUGGGAUUCUAACUCCCAAGAGUGAUGUAUACAGUUUUGGAGUUGUUUUGCUGGAAAUCAUC
rnacentral:rRNA from 1 species